rnacentral:rRNA from 1 species
AGUGAACGCUGGCGGUAGGCCUAACACAUGCAAGUCGAGCGGCCGCACAGUAAGCGCUUGCUCUUACGGGUGGCGACUGGCGGACGGGUGAGGCAUACAUCGGAUUCUUCUUUUUCGUGGGGGAUAACGUAGGGACACUUACGCUACUACCGUAUACGUCCUACGGGUUGAAUCAGGGGAUCUUCGGACCUUGCGCGUUUGAUUGAGCCGAUGUCGGAUUAGCUAGUUGGCGGGGUAAAGGCCCACCAAGGCGACGAUCCGUAGCUGGUCUGAGAGGAUGAUCAGCCACACUGGAACUGAGACACGGUCCAGACUCCUACGGGAGGCAGCAGUAGGGAAUAUUGGACAAUGGGCGCAAGCCUGAUCCAGCCAUACCGCGUGGGUGAAGAAGGCCUUCGGGUUGUAAAGCCCUUUUGUUGGGAAAGAAAAGCAGCAGAUUAAUACCCCGCUGUUCUGACGGUACCCAAAGAAUAAGCACCGGCUAACUUCGUG